rnacentral:rRNA from 1 species
UACCAGCGGUCCAAGUCGCAGCCAUUUUUAUUGGGCCUAAAGCGUUCGUAGCCGGUUUGAUAAGUCUCUGGUGAAAUCCUAUGGCUUAACUGUGGGAAUUGCUGGAGAUACUAUUAGACUUGAGGUCGGGAGAGGUUAGCGGUACUCCCAGGGUAGGGGUGAAAUCCUGUAAUCCUGGGAGGACCACCUGUGGCGAAGGCGGCUAACUGGAACGAACCUGACGGUGAGGG